AUGCUUGCUUCAGUAGCACAUAUACUAAAGCUGGAACAAUAGAAAGAUUGGCAUGGCCUCUGUGCAAGAAUGACAUGCAAAUUUGUGAAGCAUUCCGUAUGUUU
ensembl:snRNA U6 U6 spliceosomal RNA